GAUGAACGCUGGCGGCGUGCCUAAUACAUGCAAGUCGAGCGAACAGACGAGGGGCUUGCUCCUCUGACGUUAGCGGCGGACGGGUGAGUAACACGUGGAUAACCUACCUAUAAGACUGGGAUAACUUCGGGAAACCGGAGCUAAUACCGGAUAAUAUAUUGAACCGCAUGGUUCAAUAGUGAAAGACGGUUUUGCUGUCACUUAUAGAUGGAUCCGCGCCGCAUUAGCUAGUUGGUAAGGUAACGGCUUACCAAGGCAACGAUGCGUAGCCGACCUGAGAGGGUGAUCGGCCACACUGGAACUGAGACACGGUCCAGACUCCUACGGGAGGCAGCAGUAGGGAAUCUUCCGCAAUGGGCGAAAGCCUGACGGAGCAACGCCGUGUGAGUGAUGAAGGUCUUCGGAUCGUAAAACUCUGUUAUUAGGGAAGAACAAAUGUGUAAGUAACUAUGCACGUCUUGACGGUACCUAAUCAGAAAGCCACGGCUAACUACGUG
rnacentral:rRNA from 1 species